rnacentral:tRNA from 1 species
GAUCUUAUAGUUUAAUUAAAACAUUAAAUUGCAAAUUUAAUAAUGAGUACUAUUCUAAGAUUU